rnacentral:rRNA from 1 species
GACGAACGCUGGCGGCGUGCUUAACACAUGCAAGUCGAACGGAAAGGCCCAGCUUGCUGGGUACUCGAGUGGCGAACGGUGAGUAACACGUGGGUGAUCUGCCCUGCACUCUGGGAUAAGCCUGGGAAACUGGGUCUAAUACCGGAUAUGACCAACUGUCUCAUGGUGGUUGGUGGAAAGCUUUUGCGGUGUGGGAUGGGCCCGCGGCCUAUCAGCUUGUUGGUGGGGUAAUGGCCUACCAAGGCGACGACGGGUAGCCGACCUGAGAGGGUGAUCGGCCACACUGGGACUGAGACACGGCCCAGACUCCUACGGGAGGCAGCAGUGGGGAAUAUUGCACAAUGGGCGCAAGCCUGAUGCAGCGACGCCGCGUGAGGGAUGACGGCCUCGGUGUAACUACUUUCUACCAGGACGAAGCGUGAGUG